GAACUCCCGGCUCAGAGAGUUCUCCACCGCUCCUCCCAGGCUCACGAGGCUCACGGGCUACCCAGCGCCAGCGGCCCAGGAGGCUGGACCACAGGAUCUCCGUGCCCACCAGGCCUCAGUCCCGACUUCUCCCUGCUGCCCGGCACGGGACCCUCCCCCAGGACAGCCACCUCCCAGUGCUGAAGAGCCGGCCCGCCUCAGAGCCGCCCGCCGUUCCUUUUUCCUAUGCAUAUACUUCUUUGAGGAUCUGGCCUAAAGAGACUACGAAGCUGCACCGUGUGGGGCCCACUUUUUAUACAAGCGGGUGGCGGUGGAUCCAGGCGCAGACGGGAGUGAGGCGUGGCGGAGACGCGUGCACGCUGGGUCUGUGCACUUUUGCUGCUGCUGCUUUUUUUUUUUUUUUUUUUUUUUGAGAUGGAGUCUCGUUCUGUCACCCAGGCUGGAGUGCAGUGGCGCGAUCUCGGCUCACUACAACCUCUGUCUCCCGGGUUUAAGCGACUUUCCUGUCUCAGCCUCCCAAGUAGCUGAAACGACAGGCGCCUGCCACCAUACCCGGCUAAUUUUUUUAUUUUUAGUAGAGAUAGGGUUUCACCUUGUUAGGCUGGUCUUGAACUCCUGACCUCAUGAUCCACCUCACUCGGCCUCCCAAAGUGCUGGGAUUACAGGCGUGAGCCACAGCGCCCGGCUGGCUGUUGCUUCUUAACACCUUUAUUACUUUUGUAAUCAUGGGUAUGAGUUGAUUUUCUGGUCAGAAAUUUCAGUAGAGCUAAUUUCAUUUAAAUGUGUGAGAUGUGGUAAAGUUUUGACAAUAAAUACAAAUUUUGA
rnacentral:lncRNA from 1 species